GAUGAACGCUGGCGGUGUGCCUAAUACAUGCAAGUCGAGCGAACAGACGAGGAGCUUACUCCUCUGACGUUAGCGGCGGACGGGUGAGUAACACGUGGAUAACCUACCUAUAAGACUGGGAUAACUUCGGGAAACCGGAGCUAAUACCGGAUAACAUGUUGAACCGCAUGGUUCAACAGUGAAAGACGGUCUUGCUGUCACUUAUAGAUGGAUCCGCGUCGCAUUAGCUAGUUGGUAAGGUAACGGCUUACCAAGGCAACGAUGCGUAGCCGACCUGAGAGGAUGAUCAGCCACACUGGAACUGAGACACGGUCCAGACUCCUACGGGAGGCAGCAGUAGGGAAUAUUCGACAAUGGGCGAAAGCCUGACGGAGCAACGCCGCGUGAGUGAAGAAGGUCUUCGGAUCGUAAAACUCUGUUAUUAGGAAAGAACAGAUGUGUAAUUAACUAUGCACGUCUUGACGGUACCUAAUCAGAAAGCCACGGCUAACUACGUG
rnacentral:rRNA from 1 species